GCCCUUGCGGAUCCGCGGCCGCUGAGAGUUUGAUCCUGGCUCAGGACGAACGCUGGCGGCGUGCCUAAUGCAUGCAAGUCGCACGCACUCGCUUCGGCGGGUGAGUGGCGCACGGCUGAGUAACACGUGGGAACCCGCCCCCCGGUGGGGGAUAACGCGACGAAAGUCGCGCUAAUCCCGCAUACGUCCGCAGGGGGAAAGCGCUUCGGCGCGCCGGGGGAGGGGCCUGCGGCCCAUCAGGUCGUUGGUGGGGUAACGGCCUACCAAGCCGAUGACGGGUAGCUGGUCUGGGAGGAUGACCAGCCAGACUGGGACUGAGACACGGCCCAGACUCCUACGGGAGGCAGCAGCAAGGAAUUUUCGGCAAUGGGCGCAAGCCUGACCGAGCAACGCCGCGUGCGGGAUGACGGCCUUCGGGUUGUAAACCGCUUUUCGGGGGGACGAUGAUGACGGUACCCCCGGAACAAGCCCCGGCUAACUCUGUGCCAGCAGCCGCGGUAAGACAGAGGGGGCGAGCGUUGUCCGGAGUCACUGGGCGUAAAGCGCGCGCAGGCGGUCGCCAAAGUGUCGUGUGAAAGCCCCCGGCUCAACCGGGGGAGGCCAUGGCAAACUCGGCGACUGGAGCGGCGGAGAGGCCCCUCGAAUUGCCGGUGUAGCGGUGAAAUGCGUAGAGAUCGGCAGGAAGACCAAGGGGGAAGCCAGGGGGCUGGCCGCUGGCUGACGCUGAGGCGCGACAGCGUGGGGAGCGAACCGGAUUAGAUACCCGGGUAGUCCACGCCGUAAACAAUGACCACUCGGCGUGCGGCGACUAUUGACGUCGCGGUGCGCCUUAGCUCACGCGCUAAGUGGUCCGCCUGGGAACUACGAGCGCAAGCUUAAAACUCAAGGAAUUGACGGGGGCCCGCACAAGCAGCGGAGCGUGUGGUUUAAUUCGAGGCAACCCGAAGAAACCUUACCCAGGCUUGACAUGA
rnacentral:rRNA from 1 species